UGGCGAACGGGUGAGUAACACGUGAGUAACCUGCCCCAGACUCUGGGAUAACCCCGGGAAACCGGAGCUAAUACCGGAUACGACACGAAGAGGCAUCUCUAUCGUGUGGAAAGUUUUUCGGUCUGGGAUGGACUCGCGGCCUAUCAGCUAGUUGGUGAGGUAACGGCUCACCAAGGCGACGACGGGUAGCCGGCCUGAGAGGGCGACCGGCCACACUGGGACUGAGACACGGCCCAG
rnacentral:rRNA from 1 species